GAUGAACGCUGGCGGCGUGCCUAAUACAUGCAAGUCGAGCGAACAGAUGAGGAGCUUGUUCCUCUGACGUUAGCGGCGGACGGGUGAGUAACACGUGGAUAACCUACCUAUAAGACUGGGAUAACUUCGGGAAACCGGAGCUAAUACCGGAUAAUAUAUUGAACCGCAUGGUUCAAUAGUGAAAGACGGUUUUGCUGUCACUUAUAGAUGGAUCUGCGCCGCAUUAGAUAGUUGGUAAGGUAACGGCUUACUAAGGCAACGAUGCGUAGCCGACCUGAGAGGGGGAUCGGCCACACUGGAACUGGGACACGCACCAGGCUCCUGCGGGAGGCAGCAGUAGGGAAUCUUCCGCAGUGGGCGGAAACCUGACGGAGCGACGCCGCGUGUGUGAUGAAGAUCUUCGGAUCGUAAAACUCUGUUUUUGGGGAAAAACAAAUGUGUAAGUAACUAUGCACGUCUUGACGGUACCUAAUCAGAAAGCCACGGCUAACUACGUG
rnacentral:rRNA from 1 species